rnacentral:siRNA from 1 species
CAUCUGAAACGAGUGCUUGAUGUC